CGACGUAGGCGGCUUUGUAAGUCUGGAGUGAAAGUCCUCUUUUCAAGGGAGGAAUUGCUUUGGAAACUAUAGAGCUUGAGUGCAGGAGAGGUUAUCGGAAUUCCCGGUGUAGCGGUGAAAUGCGUAGAUAUCGGGAGGAACAUCGGUGGCGAAGGCGGGUAACUGGACUGCAACUGACGCUGAGGCGCGAAAGUGUGGGGAGCAAACA
rnacentral:rRNA from 1 species